GACGUGAGCGGUUCGCCGCCCGCGACGUCGCGAGAAGUCCACUGAACCUUAUCAUUUAGAGGAAGGAGAAGUCG
rnacentral:rRNA from 6 species